AGGAGUGGCAGUGGCCUGAGCCUUUUAUUUUAACGAGACCUUAGAUGUAUUGUAUGGUAUGGUAUGGGAUUGAAGCUUAUCUUCUCAAUCUAGGAACUCAAACUUUGAAAAGGUUCCUAGUAAACUUAACAUUAAAGAAAGCUUAGCUUAUUCUCCCACUCUGGUUUUAACCGAUGCAUUAGCUUUUCUUUUACAAGAUGUCCUGGACGCCCCUUUCUUCAAAAAAGGAGAUGCAUUCCAUUACGGAUAUUCUUCAAGUCAUA
rnacentral:misc_RNA from 1 species